AGCAGUGCUGCAGCCCUGCGGUCUCCCUGGGGAUGCUGCGUUUGGUGCUCAGCUGGAGGACACUGAGCAGGGGACGGCGUCGCGAUCCUCGUGGCUGCGGCCACGGCUCAGCAUGAGAGCGAAGGGCGCCGGGAGGCAGGCGUGGAUUACAUGGGAGCGACGGGAUCAAACCCAGGAGCCCUCCCUCCUACCCGCUGGCACGGAGCAAGGGAAAGCAGUUUCCACUGUCAAGAGGCUGCGCAGCAGCUGCACAAAGCCAUCAGCGCGGUGUGGGAAGGGAGUUACUCAGCACUCGGUUCCCAAGAGAAAAAACACACACACCAAAAAGAAAAGCAGCUCGAGCUGACUUUCCAAAACGCUUUGAGGUUCGUAGCAAUGUCCUCUCCUCUUUGGUCCCAUCGAUAUCCUUCCCGCGUUUCCACUCACGGAGCAGCUUUGGAGCCAGGCGUUAUCCCAACUGUUUUGCUGUUUUAUUUCUUUGGAUGCGCGAAUGUCGGUCGGUUGGAAAACAAACUCUGGAGGAUCCUUGAGGAAAGGCUGCAAACAGCUCCGGGUGGGAUGACUAAUCCCAUCGCCGCCGAAUCCAACGGGGCCCUAAAAAUAGCUCCAUUUCUAACAAUAAAUACCAUAAAGUUGCUCGC
rnacentral:lncRNA from 7 species